rnacentral:rRNA from 1 species
AACGAACGCUGGCGGCAUGCCUAACACAUGCAAGUCGAACGAGACCUUCGGGUCUAGUGGCGCACGGGUGCGUAACGCGUGGGAACCUGCCCUUAGGUUCGGAAUAACUCCCCGAAAGGGGUGCUAAUACCGGAUAAUGUCUUAGGACCAAAGAUUUAUCGCCUUUGGAUGGGGCCGCGUUGGAUUAGCUAGUUGGUAGGGUAAAAGCCUACCAAGGCGACGAUCCAUAGCUGGUCGGAGAGGAGGAUCAGCCGCGCUGGGGCUGCGACACGGCCCAGUCUCCUACGGGAGGCUGCAGUAUGUUGUAUUAGACGCUGGACGCUAGCCUGAUCCAGCCAUGCCGCGUGUGUGAGGAAUGCCUUAGGGUUGUAAAGCUCUUUUUCCCGGGAUGAUAAUGACAGUACCGGGAGAAUAAGCACCGGCUAACUCCGUG